UACGGAGGGUGCAAGCGUUGUCCGGAUUUAUUGGGUUUAAAGGGUGCGUAGGCGGCCCGUUAAGUCAGCGGUGAAAGUCUGUGGCUCAACCAUAGAAGCGCCGUUGAUACUGAUGGGCUUGAGUGCCUUAUGGGUACAUGGAAUUGAUGGUGUAGCGGUGAAAUGCAUAGAUACCAUCAGGAACACCGAUAGCGUAGGCAUUGUACUGUGCGGCAACUGACGCUGAGGCACGAAAGCGUGGGGAGCAAACAGG
rnacentral:rRNA from 1 species